AUCCAACUCUCCCCAACCAAAUAAGCCUCCAAUUCCAACGUCAUUAGAGCUCUCUUUGCACUAACUUGGCCGAAUUCGGAGAAAUUAUGGCCGAAUUUAGCUUAACUUUUGUGCUUUUAAACUUCCUGAAAGAUUAUUUUCUGCAACAGCAGAAUCUUGUGGAGUUAAUGGGCUGGGCCGGAUCUCCAUUCAAUGGCUAAUAGGCUAAGACGAAAAAGAUCUAUGCAAAAGUACAUCCUUGACCAGCGGCUGCUAUAAGGGUUUUGUUCACUUAAACUGGCACAAAUC
rnacentral:lncRNA from 1 species